UACGAAGGGGGCUAGCGUUGCUCGGAUUUACUGGGCGUAAAGGGCGCGUAGGCGGACAGUUAAGUUGGGGGUGAAAGCCCGGGGCUCAACCUCGGAAUUGCCUUCAAUACUGGCUGUCUUGAGUGUGAGAGAGGUGUGUGGAACUCCGAGUGUAGAGGUGAAAUUCGUAGAUAUUCGGAAGAACACCAGUGGCGAAGGCGACACACUGGCUCACUACUGACGCUGAGGCGCGAAAGCGUGGGGAGCGAACAGG
rnacentral:rRNA from 1 species